AAGAAGGCCUUCGGGUUGUAAAGCUCUUUCAGAUGCGAAGAUGAUGACGGUAACAUCAGAAGAAGCCCCGGCUAAUUUCGUGCCAGCAGCCGCGGUAAUACGAAAGGGGCAAGCGUUGUUCGGAUUUACUGGGCGUAAAGGGCACGCAGGCGGUCUUGCCAGUCAGGGGUGAAAGCCCGGGGCUCAACCCCGGAACUGCCUCUGAUACUGCAAGACUAGAGACUAGGAGAGGGUGGUGGAAUUCCCAGUGUAGAGGUGAAAUUC
rnacentral:rRNA from 1 species